rnacentral:rRNA from 1 species
GACAAUAAAUAACAAUAUAGGGCUCUUUUGGGUCUUAUAAUUGGAAUGAGUACAAUUUAAAUCCCUUAACGAGGAUCAAUUGGAGGGCAAGUCUGGUGCCAGCAGCCGCGGUAAUUCCAGCUCCAAUAGCGUAUAUUAAAGUUGUUGCCGUUAAAAAGCUCGUAGUCGAACUUCGGCCUCUGCCGCCCGGUCCGCCUAUUGGGUGUGUACUGGAGCGGUGGAGGCUUACCUCGUGGUGAGCAAUCAUACCCUUUACUGGGCRUGGUUGGGAACCAUGAUUUUUACUUUGAAAAAAUUAGAGUGKUCAAAGCAGGCUUACGCCCGAAUACAUUAGCAUGGAAUAAUAAAAUAGGACGUGCGGUUCUAUUUUGKUGGUUUCUAGGAUCGCCGUAAUGAUUAAUAGGGAUAGUUGGGGGCAUUCSUAUUCMAUUGCUAGARGUGAAAUUCUUGGAWUUAUUGAAGACGAACUACUGCSAAAGCAUUUGCCMAGGAWGUUUUCMUUGAUCAAGAACGAAGGUUAGGGGAWCGAAAACGAUCAGAUACCGUUGUAGUCUUAACAGUAAACGAUGCCSACUAGGGAUCGGAMGARGAUUUUUAAUGACUCSUUCSGCACCUGAAGAGAAAUCUUUAAGUCUAGGUUCGGGGGGGAAUAUGGKCGCAAGGCUGAAACUUAANGGAAUUGACGGAAGGGCACCACCMGGUGUGGAGCCUG